GAUGAACGCUGGCGGCGUGCCUAAUACAUGCAAGUCGAGCGAACGGACGAGAAGCUUGCUUCUCUGAUGUUAGCGGCGGACGGGUGAGUAACACGUGGAUAACCUACCUAUAAGACUGGGAUAACUUCGGGAAACCGUAGCUAAUACCGGAUAAUAUUUUGAACCGCAUGGUUCAAAAGUGAAAGACGGUCUUGCUGUCACUUAUAGAUGGAUCCGCGCUGCAUUAGCUAGUUGGUAAGGUAACGGCUUACCAAGGCAACGAUGCAUAGCCGACCUGAGAGGGUGAUCUGCCACACUGGAACUGGGACGCGGUCCAGACUCCUACGGGAGGCAGCAGUAGGGAAUCUUCCGCAAUGGGCGAAAGCCUGACGGAGCAACGCCGCGUGAGUGAUGAAGGUCUUCGGAUCGUAAAACUCUGUUAUUAGGGAAGAACAUAUGUGUAAGUAACUGUGCACAUCUUGACGGUACCUAAUCAGAAAGCCACGGCUAACUACGUG
rnacentral:rRNA from 1 species